GUAAUUUUUACUUAGUAUUGACUAAGUGCUUUGAUAAGCACUGUACUAGAGUUAAACUUAUCAUUCAGAACUAUACUAUGGGUUCUAAAAUCAGGUACUAAUGGGGCUUACUGAGAUACAGAAGAUGCAUCCUUAGCUGCUCUGCACUUUUAUUCAUGAGGUGAAGCAGAGCAGCCAGGGAGGUUCUUAUGAAAGAGACAUUUUAGAUUUCCCAGGUUAGAAGAAAAUCCUGCAGCAGCCAUGAUUAUAUAUACGUCCUUUCCCUCUAUGCAAUCAUGGGAUUUGUGUCCUGCAGAUAGUGACAUCACUGUGCACCACCAGUUGGGAUUCCUGUGAGCUGGCUCUGCUCCUAGAAGUGGUAAUACCACCACUCUAAGGCAACAAUAAAGCCUGCUUAAAGCGGCCUCUGCUUUAACCACUAGAUCUUCAUCGAGGCAGAGAGGGGCUGACGGUGUUUCAGAAGUGAGAAGCUUUCCAUGCUGGCACUGUGAGCAGCCUUUGACCGAGGGGUGAGAGCCUCACCAUCCUGCACACAGAGUCCUAAGCAGCCUUAGAUUCCCUCCCAGCUGACAUCAAUGGCGGAACUUCUACGGGCUCAGCAAGGACAACUGCAAUUGUAAACAACAAAAACAGAAAUGAGUUUUUUGCUCCGCGGUAUGAAGCCAUUUUUAUAGAUUUCCAGAAUCAGCAG
ensembl:lncRNA